GACGAACGCUGGCGGCGUGCUUAACACAUGCAAGUCGAACGGAAAGGCCCUGCUUUUGUGGGGUGCUCGAGUGGCGAACGGGUGAGUAACACGUGAGUAACCUGCCCUUGACUUUGGGAUAACUUCAGGAAACUGGGGCUAAUACCCGAUAGGAUCUCCUGCUGCAUGGUGGGGGUUGGAAAGUUUCGGCGGUUGGGGAUGGACUCGCGGCUUAUCAGCUUGUUGGUGGGGUAGUGGUUUACCAAGGCUUUGACGGGUAGCCGGCCUGAGAGGGUGACCGGCCACAAUGGGACUGAGAGAGGGCCCAGACGCAUACGGGAGGCAGAAGGGGGGAAUAUUGCAAAAUGGGCGGAAGCAUGAUGCAGAAACGCCGCGUGCGGGAUGACGGGCUUCGGGGGGUAAACCGCUUUGGCCUGUGACGAAGAGUGAGUGACGGUAAUGGGUAAAGAAGCACCGGCUAACUACGUG
rnacentral:rRNA from 1 species